rnacentral:rRNA from 1 species
CAGGGCUUGACAUGCCGCGAAUCCUCUUGAAAGAGAGGGGUGCCUUCGGGAACGCGGAUACAGGUGCUGCAUGGCUGUCGUUAGCUCGUGUUGUGAAAUGUUGGGUUAAGUCCCGCAACGAGCGCAACCCUUAUCCUUUGUUGCCAGCGGUCCGGCCGGGAACUCAAAGGAGACUGCCAGUGAUAAACUGGAGGAAGGUGGGGAUGACGUCAAGUCAUCAUGGCCCUUACGAGUAGGGCUACACACGUGCUACAAUGGCGCAUACAAAGAGAAGCGACCUCGCGAGAGCAAGCGGACCUCAUAAAGUGCGUCGUAGUCCGGAUUGGAGUCUGCAACUCGACUCCAUGAAGUCGGAAUCGCUAGUAAUCGUAGAUCAGAAUGCUACGGUGAAUACGUUCCC